UGAGAGUAAAGGUGGAGGGACAGCUUUGGACGCCAUUUAUUGUUACAUUUUCACAUUUUAUAAGCACAAAUAUAAAAUAUACACAAACAUGAUCACAGACUGAAACAGCAACAGUGGUGUGUUGGAAAUAUGAAGUGAAUAAACCCACACUCUUGUAGUAAACCAGCUUAACUGAACAAAAGAUGUUUUUUUUACUUUUAUGGAGAAGUUAUUUCUUUAAUGCUGUCUGAGUUUGAUCACAGGAAGACCUCAAAUUAAAGAACUGGAAGCAUUAUUUUAAGGAAAUGUUAUUUAAAGGUGAAUAUGAAGCAUAACUCAGUCAUAAGUUUGUAUUUAGUUCAGUCUGCGCUUCAAAAUUUACAAAUUUAGAAAACAUAAAACUAAAACGUUUGUGACUGAUGUUAUUUAAACAGUAAAAAAAAAAAACUGGAUUUAAUAUUCCUCAAAAUAUUAAUGUAGUAAAUAAAUAAGAUUGAGGACAACUCAUGAGUUUUGUAUUUUUAAUGAUACAUUCAGUUCCCUUGUGUUGUAAUGUUAUUUUUGUGAACCUCUAAUGUGAAUUACGACACAUUUUCUUCCAAUUAACUUCAGCUGUUGGACUUAUUAACAUUCAAGUGUCUAAAUAAUGUGAAUUUAAUUAAUGGACUUUGGUCUAAAAUUUUCUAUAUCCUAUAUUUACAAGAUAUAAUAAAAAAUAUUCAAAUAAAUAAAAAGGCACAAGACAAGAGGUCGAUUUCCUUAAAGGAUGGUUGAAGAGAAACGUGGAAUUAUGACACCAGUUAGUUAUAAAUGAAAAAUAAUUUCUCAGUAAGUGUUUGGAAAAGCCUGUUAGACUAUCUAAAAAAUGUCUAAAAAACAGGGCUUACAUUUCUGUGCUGAUAACGUCUUCAUCAUCGUUCACUGUGUUAUGUUUAGUUAGAAGUUCAUGCUGACCACAGAUAAAAAAGUGACAAACACCAUCCCAUAAAAUCCUGAUCUCGGGACUCUGUGAUGAUAAUCUGGUCGCACUAAUCUCUUUCCAGGAGUUCUGGUGUAGAUGUCAGACUGAGACUCCCUUUUCUCAGUGUGUUGUUAUCGUCUACAGUCUGGGGAGAAUGGAGUCCGACUUUAGAGGUGGCGUCUCAGUGCACGGUGUUCGCUGCAGUUGCAUGGAGAUAUUGUUGGUAAAUUGCAGCCAGUGGGUUACAGAUGUGCAUUGGAGUCAAUGUCUGUUUAUAAACAAGAGUGGCGGGUCUCCAUCUGAACCCUAAUCAACACAUUAGGGAUCAUGUAGUUCAGAACAAACCGGCUCUUUUGGCCCCAAAGUGGCCCUUCACGGUGAAGUCACAUACAAGAGCCGAGUCUUUUGCAGCGGACACAUCCUUUGGCUUUCUACAUCGGCAAAGUUAGUGUCAGUGUUCCCGCAGUGAAGUCAGGAAACCUCAAAAGACAAAAUACUUAAAAUCUGAAUUUAAAGCUCCUAUAAGGAACUUUCUAUUUUGUUUUGUUUCUGGCGCCUCCUGUGGACAAAGUGACAACUGCGAUUGAUUUGUCCGUCUUAUCUUUUUAACUGUUUAAGUUGUUUUCUCAGAUAAAAAAUCUCAUCCUGUUGUUUUUUUUUUAGUCAAUUAAAACAGACGUAAAAUAUUGUCUGACCCCCCC
rnacentral:lncRNA from 1 species